rnacentral:rRNA from 1 species
CGCGAAUUCGCCCUUAGAGUUUGUUUCUGGCUCAGGAUGAACGCUGGCGGCGUGCCUAACACAUGCAAGUCGAACGGACUCGGAUUGAAACCUAGUGAUUUCCGAGUUAGUGGCGGACGGGUGAGUAACGCGUGGAUAACCUGCCGUAUGCAGGGGGAUAACAGUUGGAAACAGCUGCUAAUACCGCAUAAGCGCACAGUACCGCAUGGUACGGUGUGAAAAGAUUUAUCGGCAUACGAUGGAUCCGCGUCCGAUUAGCCAGUUGGCGGGGUAACGGCCCACCAAAGCGACGAUCGGUAGCCGGCCUGAGAGGGCGGACGGCCACAUUGGGACUGAGACACGGCCCAAACUCCUACGGGAGGCAGCAAUGGGGAAUAUUGCACAAUGGGGGAAACCCUGAUGCAGCGACGCCGCGUGAGUGAAGAACUAUCUCGGUAUGUAAAGCUCUAUCAACAGGGA